GAGUUUGAUCAUGGCUCAGAUUGAACGCUGGCGGAAUGCUUUACACAUGCAAGUCGAGCGGCAGCGCGGGGGCAACCCUGGCGGCGAGCGGCGAACGGGUGAGUAAUGCAUCGGAACGUACCCAGUCGUGGGGGAUAACGUGGCGAAAGUCACGCUAAUACCGCAUACGUCCUGAGGGAGAAAGCAGGGGAUCGCAAGACCUUGCGCGAUUGGAGCGGCCGAUGUCUGAUUAGCUAGUUGGUGGGGUAAAGGCCUACCAAGGCGACGAUCAGUAGCUGGUCUGAGAGGACGAUCAGCCACACUGGGACUGAGACACGGCCCAGACUCCUACGGGAGGCAGCAGUGGGGAAUUUUGGACAAUGGGCGAAAGCCUGAUCCAGCCAUUCCGCGUGAGUGAAGAAGGCCUUCGGGUUGUAAAGCUCUUUCGGCAGGAACGAAACGGCAGUCUCUAAUACAGGCUGCUAAUGACGGUACCUGAAGAAGAAGCACCGGCUAACUACGUGCCAGCAG
rnacentral:rRNA from 1 species